CUCCUCUGCCCCGGCCACUCUUUGUCGCCUCCUCCUCCGUGGACACCGCCGGCCGGGUCAUGGCCCGGGACGGCGUCGAGGCGGAGCAGCACGGCCAUGAGUGCCUCCGAAAAGCGCGUGCGACCUCCGUGCGUGUCUGGCAACCUCCUCUACUCAGGCCACUCCUCUACUCAAGCGCGGCGGAUGGCCGAAUUCGGGUGGCGGGGCUCGCGGCCACUCCUCUGCUCCAGCGCGGCAGAUGGCCGGAUUCGGGCGGCGGGGAUGGCGGGCAGCGGACUGGAAUGGGUAGGGAAAGGGCCGGAGCUGGGGAGGGCGACAGAGUGGCGCCGGUGCUGGCCGAAAUCGGUUGGCGACGACGGCGAGCGAAAGAGGACGGACGGCGGCGGUGGAGCGCCGAUUUGGUGGAGGGUGGGGGCGCAGGAGUGGUGGAACCGGCGGCUGGGCCGGUGGAGCGCCGGGAUCUGGCGGCGGCGCGAUCCACCCCCCACUAAUUUUUCUCCUUGUUUUCUUUUCUUACCGUGGUUUAUUUUCAUCCGUCACGGUUUUAUUUUCCCUGAACCAAAGAGGCGAUAACUUAGGAGUCAGGAGCCCAGCCCGCACACCCCUCUCUCUCCCCUCAAGCAAUAAGGUGCGCUAGGGUUGGCCCGCCACUGACUGCGAUGGCUAUCAAAUGGCAGCUAGGGCGAUGUCGACGCGCUUUAUCUCCCACCGCUGCCGCCUCCUGAGAUCCCGAUCCCGACCGUGGUGAGCUCCCUUCCCUUCCCCACUUCCUCGCUACCAUGCCCCUCCCGACAUCCGUUCCGUUCCCAAGGCAACGGCCGCUCCACGGUCCGUCUAACCUAGGAAUAGGAUUGUCGACCUGAUCUGUCGGUGUGCACAUGACGAUGGUGAAUUGGCGAUGCCGGACUCAAUCGCCCUGAUUUGGUUUGACUGAGAAUCAUCCAUGUGUAGGCGACAAGCAGAUUUCCUUGCAUGCCAAUUCCUUAGCUGAAACAAUAUAUAGUUCUCCGACUACCGUGCUCGAUUUUAUUCACAGGCUUCAGGACCAAUUUGUGGGAAAGUGCGGCGAACACGAGCAAAUAAAUUGGUAGAAGGUGCGGACAACUAUCUGUGCAAAGGCUUGUGUAAUAUGUAAAGUGAAUUGCAGAUGCAUUAUCUACCUCUUUGAUAAGUAUUGGGAUGUAGGUAAGACACAUCUAAUCUGAAUUGAGAUAUGGAUGUCAUGAAUAGUCUGUUUGUUCAAUUUUCGAUUGUAUGUUGAAUUAUUAUCAACUAGAUCUGCCUCCACCGACAUUACUAGCUCCUCCUUGAAUAUCAACUGUCGGAAAGAGAGCAAUGGCACUGUGAUUGUACUGUUUUAUGCCAGGUGUUAAAGAAUACUAUUUGCAAGCAGUUAGCGACGAACUGAUGGUGCAUUAUAUUGUAUAGAAGGUUCUUUUGAUCCUACAAAGCCAACUGUGCAUUUAUUGUUCUGUACCUAAUUUGGCCCUCCCGAAUCUCUAUAUACUACAUAUACAUAUGAUGGUUAUGUCAAGUACUUUGUUAGUCUCCGCUUUUGUAAAUCUUGUGACUUAUCAGUGCCAGCUUACUAGACAAUGCGAAGGAAGCCCAGAAUUGUGAUUCAGUGGAUAUAUUGUUGUUGCAUGUGCCUUGCAUGCAAAUUUAAGUAUGAGGGAUUCAAGGGCUAGGUAGUAGUCCUUUUCCCCUGGUGCUUCUACUUGACUGAAUUUAAGUAGGAGAGAUUAUCAAUUGCGUGCCGAGUCUUGUUGCACUUUCUGGGUUGUUUGAUUUCCUUUGGUGGUUUUUCAAAAUAAUAUUGAUUUAACCAUGAUUUCCUUUGGUGGUUUUUUGAAAUAAACUUUGUUUCGCAGCGGUAUCACGGUGAUUGCGCCUGGUCUACUCCACGUCUUUGCUUGUGGUUUGUGUUCUUCAGAGUCUGCUUCUGUUUGCACCUAUUCGAGAUAAUGGUCGUGAAAUGCAGCAGCCAAGACAACAAGAUCAAGCUCUACUUAGAUUCUAAAGAAUUGAUUUGUUGUUCGGGCAUUUCGUGCAUUUGGAGUUCACAGUCAGUAGGUUUCAGAAUAAGGUCGGAGUUCGCAUGGAGCACCAACGAUAAUCUCAAGCAGAUGCAUCGGAGACAGGUCGUUAUGGAUUAUGGAUUUGCGUUCCGACUACUCCUUAGUCGAUUCGCCCCUUGGCAGUGAUCUCCUGGCCUGGCUACUCCUUAGCUGGUAGGGGGUGUGAAUCAUGGCACCUUCCUGGUGUCUCGAUUCCUGCUAAGAUAAAGGGAGAUGGAAAAAUUAUGAUGACUUGGUGGCUAGCGUGGCUGUCCAAGUAUUGAGGUGGUGUGAUGAUGACUCACAACUAUAGGGGAUCAAUCAUAGUCCUUCUGAUAAGUAAGAGUGUCGAACCCAACAAGGAGCAGAAGGAAAUGAUAAGCGGUUUUCAGCAAAGUAUUCUGCAAGUACUUAAAGUAGCGGUAACAGAUAGUUUUGUAUCAAGGUAAUUCCUAACAAGUAACAAAUAACAAUAGUAACCAAUGUGCAACAAAGUGGCCCAAUCCAUUUUGUAGCAAAGGACAAGUCGGAAAGUUCUCUUAUAGUAGUCAAAGCGUUCUCGAGGACACAUGGGAAUUGUCGU